rnacentral:rRNA from 1 species
UUCAACGCAGGCUUACGCCUUGAAUACAUUAGCAUGGAAUAAUGAGAUAGGACCUUGGCGGUCUAUUUUGUUGGUUUGCACGCCGAGGUAAUGAUUAAAAGGGACGGUUGGGGUUCUUCGUAUUCAAUUGUCAGAGGUGAAAUUCUUGGAUUUAUGGAAGACGAACUGCUGCGAAAGCGUCGAACAAGGACGUUCUCAUUAAUCAAGAACGAAAGUUAGGGGAUCGAAGAUGAUUAGAUACCAUCGUAGUCUUAACCAUAAACUAUGCCGAUUCAGGAUUGGCGGUCGUUUGUUCUCGACUCCGUCAGCACUGUAUGAGAAAUCAAAAUCUUUGGGUUCCGGGGGGAGUAUGGUCGCAAGGCUGAAACUUAAAGAAAUUGACGGAAGGGCACCACCAGGAGUGGAGCCUGCGGCUUAAUUUGACUCAACACGGGGAAACUUACCAGGUCCAGACAUAGUAAGGAUUGACAGAUUGAGAGC